AAUAGAUACCCGGGUAGUCCACGCCGUAAACGGUGGGCACUAGGUGUGGGCGACAUUCCACGUCGUCCGUGCCGCAGCUAACGCAUUAAGUGCCCCGCCUGGGGAGUACGGCCGCAAGGCUAAAACUCAAAGGAAUUGACGGGGGCCCGCACAAGCGGCGGAGCAUGUGGCUUAAUUCGACGCAACGCGAAGAACCUUACCAAGGCUUGACAUACACCGGAAAACCCUGGAGACAGGGUCCCCCUUGUGGUCGGUGUACAGGUGGUGCAUGGCUGUCGUCGGCUCGUGUCGUGAGAUGUUGGGUUAAGUCCCGCAACGAGCGCAACCCUUGUCCCGUGUUGCCAGCAGGCCCUUGUGGUGCUGGGGACUCACGGGAGACCGCCGGGGUCAACUCGGGAGGAAGGUGGGGACGACGUCAAGGUCAGUCAUGGCCCCUUAUGUCUUGGGCUGCACACGUGCUACAAUGGCCGGUACAAUGAGCUGCGAUACCGCGAGGUGGAGCGAAUCUCAAAAAGCCGGUCUCAGUUCGGAUUGGGGUCUGCAACUCGACCCC
rnacentral:rRNA from 1 species